rfam:Brachypodium distachyon strain Bd21 chromosome 3, whole genome shotgun sequence.
UUUGUACUCCCUCUGUCCAACAAAAGAUGUCUCAAGCUUGUCAAAAUUUGGAUGUAUCUAGACAUGACUUAGUGUAUAGAUGCAUUCAAAUUUGGUCAAACUUGAGACAUCCUUUGUUGGACGGAGGGAGUAUUUC